rnacentral:rRNA from 1 species
CAGUAGCCGCGGGAAAACGGAGGGGGCUAGCGUUGUUCGGAAUUACUGGGCGUAAAGCGCACGUAGGCGGCUUGGUAAGUUAGAGGUGAAAGCCUGGAGCUCAACUCCAGAAUUGCCUUUAAGACUGCCGAGCUAGCAGGUGAGAGAGGUAAGUGGAAUUCCGAGUGUAGAGGUGAAAUUCGUAGAUAUUCGGAAGAACACCAGUGGCGAAGGCGGCUUACUGGCUCAUACUGGACGCUGAGGUGCGAAAGCGUGGGGAGCAAACAGGAUUAGAUACCCCCGUAGUCCCUGUCUCUUAUAC